GGGUUUUUAUUUUAUGCUUUAAACAUUGAUUUUAUUUUUUAUGUUUUUAGAUGUUCAUGUUUUUGAAUGUUUUAUUCAAAAAAUAUAAAAAAUAAAAUAUAUAUUGACAUGGAUUAAGCAAAGAUAUAUAUUAUUCUAUGUUGCAUAAACAAAUUGGCAAAAUAGAGAUGGAAGAUAAAAAUAUGGUCAAAGUAAU
rnacentral:misc_RNA from 1 species